AACAGCUGGACAUCUAGUCAGCAUGCUGGGCUCUUUGAUUCUUGUGUGGACAUGCAUCUUCUUCGUCUGUCUCCUCAUCCGGAUCCAGGGGCCAAGAAAUUUUCCUCCCGGACCUCCUCCUCUCCCUUUAUUUGGGAAUCUGCUUCAUGUGAAUAUGGCCAAUCCUUUGAAGGAUUUUGAAAGAUUUGCAGAACGAUAUGGGAAAAUCUUCAGCCUGUAUACUGGAUCAAGACCAGUCGUUUUUCUAAAUAGUUUUGAGGUUAUUAAGGAAGCUUUGUUUACAAAGGCUCAAGACUUUUCAGGACGCCCUCAAGACUUCAUGAUCAAUCAUCUCUCAGAAAAUAAAGGCAUUGUAUUGGCCGAUUAUGGACCCCGUUGGAAGGAUCAUCGACGCUUUGCUCUGAUGACCCUGAGGAACUUUGGCCUGGGGAAGAAGUCCAUGGAAGAGAGAAUUCUGGAAGAAAUCUCACAUUUAGUUGCUGACUUGGACAAAAAUGCUGGAGGAACAGUGAAUCCUCAGAAUAUGUUUCACAAUGUUGCAUCAAAUGUUAUCAGCUUGGUUCUGUACGGAUCCCGUUUUGAUUACAAUGACAAAUUCCUUCAGCAGUACAUCCGGUUAAUUACAGAGAUUUCAAAGAUCUUCAAUGGACCAUGGAAUAUGAUAUAUGACACACUUCCUUUACUGAGAAUCUUGCCCCUGCCAUUUAAAACGGCAUUUGAUCAUGCAAAGAAGUUAAAAAACAUGAAUUUGAGUCUGAUCAAUGAACACAAGAGCACAAGAGUCCCAGGAGAGCCGAGAGACUUCAUCGACUGCUAUCUGGAUGAGCUUGAUAAGAGAAAAAACGAUGGUUCCUUUUCUGAGGAACAGCUCAUCAUGUACAUUUUGGAUUUGCACUUUGCUGGGACUGAUACCACAUCCAACACUCUCCUCACUGCUUUUCUUUACCUCAUGACCCACCCAGAGAUUCAAGCAAAAUGUCAAACAGAGAUCGAUGAGGUUCUGGAAGGUAAAGAUCAUGCAUCGUAUGAAGACAGACACAAUAUGCCGUACACACUGGCUGUGAUUCAUGAAGUUCAGCGUGUUGCUAACACUGUACCACUAAGUGUGUUUCACUGCACCACCAAAGACACGGAGCUGAUGGGCUACAACAUCCCCAAGGGAACUGUAAUCAUUACCAACCUCACUUCUGUACUAAAAGAAGAAGGCCAGUGGAAGUUUCCUCAUGAAUUUAACCCAGACAACUUCCUGAAUGAGCACGGCCAGUUUGAGAAGCCUGAGGCCUUCAUACCCUUCUCUACAGGUCCUCGUGUGUGUCUCGGUGAGGGUCUUGCACGUAUGGAGCUCUUCCUGAUCAUGGUGACUCUUCUGCGCCGUUUCCAGUUUGUGUGGCCCGAUGAUGCAGGGGAACCGGAUUACACCCCAGUAUAUGGGGUCACCCUCACCCCCAAACCCUACAGAAUGCACAUCAGACGCAGAGAGACAGUUAAACAAGAGCUCUCAUUUUUCCCAACCUGUCCUCUGUGCUGCUGGAGAAUCCCAAGUCAAAGUUUCCUCAUGAGUUUAACCCAGCCAACUUCCUGAAUGAGCAGGCCUGGCCCGAGAAGCCAUUCUCUGUCGGUAAGAUAACAUUGGUACAGUAGCAGAAUAUGGCAUGCUUGCCAAAGAGGACAUGGAAGAGGGUCACGUCUUGUUCUCCAUACCCAGAGAGGUUCUUCUGCAUCAGGCCAUCACUAAAGUUAAAAAGGUCCUUGAGGAAGGGAAGAAGUCUCUGGAGAGCGCAUCAGGCUGGGUUCCUCUUCUUCUGGGUCUCCUAUAGUACACAUGUCCACAAUUUGUCUCUCUGGCCAGACUUUAAGACACUGGAUCAACCCAUGUUCUGAUAGGCCGUGCUGUGAAUAUUUGCUGACCUUUAAGAUACUCUUCAAGAGUCCUUCAGUUCUUUAUGGUUACAGAUUGUUUUUGUGAGUGCGAUAAAACUCCUGAAAGGCACAGGAAUUCCAGAGGCUGUCAAAAUGGAUCUGAAAAAACUCCUGGAGGAGUACAAUAACACAGUCCUCCCUUUUCUUGAAGUCCCAUCCUGACCUGUGGGACCCGGAGAAGCACACGUUGGAGCUCAACAAGAGCCUGGUAGCAUUUGUAAUGGCCUAUAGGAUAAAACCUUUGAAUGCUUAAUGUUUAAAAUAGUCAAGAGUGACCAGAAAUGUAUCAAAUAAUUUUUUUCAGAUGCAAAUGAAACGACAAGCAGGCGAAGUUGCAGUUCAAGUGUUUAAUGCGGUAACUACAGAAAGCAUACAUACAGGAAAUAAGUAGCGGAACUAAAGGCAACUACAAAGUACUACAAAAUACAACACGUGGACCAAUACAUUUACAAAACAUUCGAAAUCCUUACAAAAUGAGCUGUAUUGGUCCUUUUUGUUCUGCAAGUUGAAUCUUUGUACAAACUCCUAAGAUUCAAUUUACCAACAAUUUUCUGAAUAUUUCCACAAUUGUACAAGUGCCAGGGAGAACCUCCAACCCAAGAUGUGUUUCCUCACAGGUGCAAACAAGUGCCCCCCCACCCACUGCAGUCCAGGACAUCUGUCCGAUCCUUUCAGCUCACCACACUGAUAGCUCUCCCCUUAAAAACCAUAAAAAAAAAAAUACAAAUAAAACAA